UAGAUCUGAGAACCAUCGUCUCUGGUCAGCAGCUAUGCAGCUGGCCAUGCUGUGCACUGUGUGUCUGCUGCCCAGCAGCCUGGCCCUGCCGCUUCCCCGGGAGGCAGGAGGCAUGAGUGAGCUGCAGUGGAAACAGGCUCAGGACUAUCUCAAGAGAUUUUAUCCAUCCAGUUCAAAAAUAAGAGAUCCCAAUAGUUUAGAAGCCAAACUCAAGGAGAUGCAAAAAUUCUUUCGCCUGCCCGUAAAUGGAAUCUUAAACUCCUACAUCAUAGAAAUAAUGCAGAAACCCAGAUGUGGAGUGCCAGAUGUUGCAGAAUACUCGCUAUUCCCAGAUAGUCCAAAAUGGACUUCCAAUGUAGUCACCUACAGGGUCGUAUCACAUCCUCGAGAAUUAUCACUUGUCAUAGUGAAUCAAUUAGUGGCAAAGGCCUUGAAAAUGUGGAGCGAAGAGAUCCCACUGCACUUCAAGAGAGUUAGCUGGGGAACUGCUGAUAUCAUGAUUGGCUUUGCAAGAGGAGCUCACGGGGACCCCUACCCAUUUGAUGGACCAGGAAACACACUGGCUCAUGCCUUUUCACCUGGGCCAGACCUUGGAGGAGAUGCUCACUUUGAUGAGGAUGAACACUGGACUGAUGGUAGCAGUAUAGGAAUUAAUUUCCUGUUUGCUGCAACUCAUGAAUUUGGCCAUUCUUUGGGUCUGGGACAUUCAUCUGACCCCAGUGCCGUGAUGUAUCCAACCUAUAGAGACGGAGAUCCCAAGAAUUUCAAACUUUCACGGGAUGAUAUCAAAGGAAUUCAGAAAUUAUACGGAGAGAGAAGUGAUUCAAGAAUGAAUUAGAAACUUCAGGGAGAACUCACAAUCAUUCAUUGGACUCUAUAUCAUUAUUCCCCAACCAGAAUUGAUGAAUGCUGUUCCUGCUCUCCAUUUAGUACUUACUUCAUCCUUCCCUGUAUUGAGGUUGGUUUUUGUACAUCUUUCUUUCCCUCUGGGGAUAAGCUCUUUUAUGACACAAUUGUGUCUUCAUCUAUAACUCUCCUCAAGCAAAUCGAACUUAGCAAAUGUCAAUGAAUGUUAAAUACACAGAUAAAUAAAAAUUUUUUCCAUAGUAAAAUGAUUUAUAUUUGGGAGCAUUGUUUCUGUGUCAAGAGAAGGCAUGCUAUACAAUGAAGUCAAAGACUGAGACCAGAAAAAGAAAAUUCCACCACAUUAUUUUGAAUCUUCAGCUGCACCUCACUCUAUCACCAGAGUCAAACUCCAACUUAAGAACGAGGUCUGGGCAUGUGAAUUUGUCUUCACCCCUCUGAGAUUUCACUGAAGUAGCAGUAAGGGAAUAAACAGAGUAGGGAGAGGUCUGUCAAUGAACAAGGGAUUUUAGUAAAUUUCUGAAGACCUAACACAGCUAAUAUAUGAAACAGAUCAGACUCCCUAGGAUAUGUGAAGAAGGCUCAAGUGGAAAUUGGAGUUCAAUUUUCCAGCUCCAGAGAGGCUCUGAAACCCCAGCUGGAAGGUUUGAUGAAGGCAAAGGUGGAAAAUAAAAUCAGGGCAUUGAUGGAAUAUCUGUACAUGAGAUGAUUGACCCUGACUUCAUUCCUGCAAGAAAAAUGCCGGAUGUUGACUUCUAGAAAAUAUAUCAAAGGGUUCUUUGAUAAAUAAGUUUUUAAAAACUUUGAGAGUGAACAGGACAUUUUAAGCAGGUGCUGUGCUUCUAGACAAAAUAUUCAUAUUUUGGCUUUCAGGUUAAAGGUAAGGAGCCUCUAUCCAUCUGCUCAUCCUAAAUUUAAUGUACCAGUGAACAAGACCCACCCAUGUACACCAAAACUCUAGUCAGCUUUCUUAUUGCCCUACUAUUAAAAUUAAAUGGGGAACGAAAUACUAGAUAUUUGAGGAAAAUUUGCAGUACCAAGGGUAUUCAUCCCAGAAGAAAUGGAUGGAGGAUUCAAAGAACAGAAGAUACCUAAAGAAAAAAAUAGAACAGUCUCAGGGAAAUUUGCGAAGAUAUUACAUUUCUAAACAACAAGAAGAUGUUAUAAAAAAUGAACAGAGAACAAGACAAAACUCUUGGAAAUCAAAGAUGUAACUGCCAAAAUAGAAAUAAAGAUUUGGGAGAUAAAGAAAACCACCCAGAAUGAAGCAUUUUAAGACAAAAAAUUAGGAAAUAUGAAAGAAAAAGUAAGAAAAAAAGAUCAAUUCAAGAAGUCCAACACCCAACUCUGGUGGCUUUGGAAUAUAUCAACAAGGCUAAGUUAAACUCGAUUUCCCAGAAGUCACUCCUCUAUGUGUUAGUUAGGGCUGGUCACAAGAGAAACCUGCAUGACAUUUGGAAGGUGGAAGUAAAGCAAUAGCUAAGUUUGUUCUCCCAAGGUUGACAUUGGUCUGGUGCUGUUAUAGCUCAUGCAGUUUCAGAGAUGUGCUUAUUCACAUUGCAAGUAUAAAACACUGCAGGACCCACAUGUCCAGCUCCCACAUGAUCUCUUCUUUCAACUUUUCCAAAUCCUGGGCCAGGUGUAAGUGUGGCUCUGUAACAAGAAUACUGGUUUCUCCUGCAGGGCAUCCAUGGCUGCAAAUUUGGAGACUUAGCAACAGGGAGAAGCCAUCAUAAGUUCCAAUAAAAGACAGGGAGAGGUUCCAGCUUGUUCCUCAUGGGUCCCAGUUGUCCUGCUCUCCUCACUUCAUGCCUAUCUUUUAACUCCUACUACCUGUCCUGUAACUUCAAGGUCAGCACCAGAUGCAGAAGAAACAGCACAAACAAGACUGUCUCACCAGCUCCUGCAACUGUGUAAGGUCAAAUCCCUAUAAUUUACUUAUUAUCUCUUUUUUUAUAUCAUUCUUAGUAUUCUACUUCUGUGACUUGUGACUGAACUCUGCCAGAUACACCAGACAAUAGGAUUUCCAAAAAUAGGGAAUAGAUCAAAAAGAGAAAAUCAUCAAAGAAAUAACUGAACAUUUUCCAGUCCUGAGAAGGGAGAACUGUGUGGAAAGACACAAAUCUUCAAACUGAAAGAGUCCCUAUCAUGUUGAAAUUUCAGAACAAGGAGGAUAAAGAAAUCUUAAUAAUGCUCCAAGAUUAAAAAAAACAUUAAGACACCAACAAAAGAACUAGAAUUAAACUAUCAGAUUUCUCAUCAACAAAAAUGAUUCUAAACUAGAGUGGAGCAAAGUCUUCAAAGUUCUAAGUAGGAAUUAUUUUGAUCUUAGAAUUCUAUACCCAGCCAAACCAUCACUACAGUGUUGGUCACAGUUGAAUUGUGUCCCCCCAAAAAGAUAUAUAGCAGUCUUAAUUCCCACUACUAGUGAAUGUGAUCUUAUUUGGAAAUAGGGUCUUUGCAGAUGUAAUCAAGUUAAGAUUAGGUCAUACUGGAUUAGAAUGGGCUCUAAAUCUGAUGACUAUUGUUCUUAUAAGCAGGUCAUGUAAAGACUCAGGUAUACAAAGACACACAGGGAGAAUGCAAUGUGACAAUGGAGGAAGAGACUGGAGUGAUAGAAUUAGAAGCCAAGAAAUGCUGGCAACAACACAAAACUAGGAGAGAGUCACAGAACCGAUUUUCCCUCAGAUCCUCCAGAAAGAACCAACAUUGCUCACACGGUGAUUUCAGCCUUCCGGCCU